UUGAAUUUGAACUAAAGGCUAUUGGGUUUUCACAUGAGUCUACGUGUGAUGUAUGGAUUUGUUGGUGAGUGGACGGAUUUCGUCGCGAAUCCGUGAGCAAACGGGGUGAAACAAAAUUGUGGAUUUGAUGACUCUGUCGUGCUGAUCACACUGGUGUGAUCCGUUAGAAAAUUCGACGGACGGAUCGUUAGAUAUCACGCGUUUAUCGAGGAAAGGUCUAAUGGUUGAUUUCUGUAUUUCGCG
rnacentral:lncRNA from 1 species